AGCUUUGGUUUGAAGGUCUCAUGAGCACCCUGCUGCCCAAGAGCCUUGGCUAAGGGACCGCUGACUCUCAAUGGCUGCUGCAAGAUGCCCUCAGUGCUGCUUGGGAAAUGACAGCCAAGAACCAGAUGUCAGCAGUUUGAUAUUGUCUGAAACCGUUUAUCAGAGGGAAUCAAACCGCUCUUCAGAGAAUGAUCAGGAGAACUGAGGGAAAUAUAAGUGGAUGAGAACCAGCUCCCUACCAAAUCCUCCAUGGGACAUCAGCAGAAUUUUAGGCAUCUAAUUCCAAACUGGUGAAUGGUGUCAAAGAGUCUUGGCUUUGUCCCACAGGGAAACUGGAAAAUAUUCUGAAACAUCAGCUUGAAGAGGAAAUUUUUCCUUCAUAUUUAUAUUCAUAAAAUAAUUUUAAACCAUAUGAAGGACUUCAGAGCCUGCUCUGAGCCAUGCAUGUCAUGAAUCUUCCUGAAGAGAGUUCAGUAACUUAUCACAUAAGGAGAAGGUUAGAAGUCUCUUUUUGAAGUCAAGUUAUUUGAGAACUUAGCCCUGAUCUUCCCCAAAAUACCUGACUAUAACAGAAGGACUAUGUGAUCCCAGUAGAUGCUGGUGAAUGUGCAAAGGCCAGGUUAUGAAGUACUAGCAGAUGAUCAUAGAAGACAAAAUGACACAAAGAUUUUAGAUAAUUGUAAGCUAUCAAGACAGAGAGCUUUCGAAUGUUGUUGCCUGCAGAUGGAGGAGAUCCAUUGGUGGCUAUUGGAAGUUAUGCUAUGGAUCCAAUAUGUACCUCAGGAAGCCCCUGGUGGAUACUAUUCAGAAACAAAGACAUUAUACUAGGGAAAAUCACCCUAUAUUUCCUUAUUUCUUAUAUUUUCCCAUGAAGUCACUGAUGGCUAUGGCUGGACAGAGGAAAAGGAGCAAAGUGGACUUCUGAGCUGGCAAGUGUGGCUGCUCCUAUGCUUAUGACAACACAUCAUCCCCUGUCAUUGGAAGGACACUAACUGGCUUUGUACACCUUCCCUUGCUGUUUAAUAAAUAAAUAAAUAAGUCCACAGGAAUAAUUCACCUUCAGACGAUGCAGCAAUUUCCAGAUGAGUGAGCUGCUGUAUCUGCUAUCAGUUGAACUUGAUUGACCAAGCUCCUGCUCACCAUAGUAAUUAUGCUCCUUUCAAAACAGCAUCACUGGGUAUCUUUGUUCUUCUUUUCUGAGGCAGUAUCUUAUUAUGGCAGAGUUAGCAAGAAAUAGUUGCUCUUGUGUACUGAAAGUUUGCCUCAGACAGUACAUAAUGUGAUAAAAAAGGAAUCAAAAAAGUUUGAAGUUGCUACUAGACCUAGUGUGUACAAUUUGUAUAGUAUGCAGACUUGAAGAAUACUGUCAGAAGCUGCUGUGUGUUAACCCCUGCACUUUUACUGUUAAUUCAUCACAUAUUAUUUUCAGUGAAUUUUAAGACUUUGUGGUCCAUGCAUGCUAAUAUCAGAUGCUCUACCAAACUGUUUGUAUUAUAGAUCUGUGGUUGCCAGUAGAAAAAUGUCCCAGCCAGUGUUCAGGUGAAAUAAAACCUUCAGAAAGCAUGAAAGCACCUGCCAGAAUUGUAGGCUUUGGGUGGUAGCUAGGCAGAUCCCCAUUACAGUGCAGAUCAAGCUCUGCAGAUAGCCACGGUUGUCUUUGACACUGAAGUCCUCCACUGUACAGCUACUGCUGUUCAGUAGGUUGGAAACUACUUGUCACUUACAGAUAAAUGUAGCUACUCACUAUGUCUAUCCAAACCAAAUAUCUUAUUUGUUUUCUUCCUGCAGAGCAUCAUAUGGUCUUGUUUAGGCUUUCUGUGACCUCUUCAGUUCUUCUCUGAGCCAGGGUCUGUGGCUUGCAGCAUUUUGCCAGCUCCAGUAUAGCUCAGUGUCCCUCUUUUGAUCCACAGACCCUAUCUAAAAGGAAAAAGACCAUGGCCUUCGCAACGUAGCUGUGUUGGUUGCAGAUAAGCCUGGAUUUCAUGCAAGGGGGAACUUAGUUGUGUGAGUCUCAGCUCAGUGCAGACAAAACUAUGUUGCAAUGAAUGUAAAUGGAAUUUUUUUAAAAUUGUAUUUUGCCAGGAUUUUGGAUGUACCAUUGAAACUUGAGUGCCAGUCUUUGCAAGAAAUGAACUUUCCUCCCAGUCAUUUUUUUCCUUUUAUUCCUCCAGAAGAAGGAAUAGUGUUUAUUACAACUAGGCAGACAUCUUGAUUCAAAGUUUCCUUUUGGCAUCGGCUUCCUUAAUGUGAAAUUUUAACAAAAUCAUACCUCUCCUAACACUUUAUUUACACAAUUGAUAGAUACAGGUUUAAUUAAAUAUUUAUAUUGAUACAGCAUUUUACUAGUUAUCUUUUCUUUACCAGCCAUCACUACGUUGUUAAUUUCAGUUUCAGUACAUUGAAUGAAUGUAUUUGUUUCUCCAACUUGUUGGAAGUUUGUUUUAUGUGUCUUUCUAAAUAGUGCCUGGUGCUCUGUUCUCUAGGAAUUGUAAUAUUUAAGCCAUGCAUAAAGUAGGGUCAACUCACUGGAAAGGAGUAGGAACUGGUUAAACCUACAGUGCUUGACAAGUUUAAAUGAUUGUAAUAAAAGCCAUGAAACAAGGAUUUUGUGUUUCUCAUGGAUCUGGGCCAUAUCUGGGCCAGAGUGUAUAUACUAAGAUAUGUUCAUGCAGUGACACAGGUUCAUUGAACUGCAGAGCUGGGAAAACCCACAAGAGUCUAAUCCAUCCCACCUACCUCAAGCAGACCCAAAUGGGCUUCACUGGAUAUAUGUCUUGAAUAACAGUGUACAGUGCUGAGCUAUCCUGUGCCCUUAAGUUUCUUUUGCAAGCUGUGCUUCUACAAGGCAAUUCAACCAUUUUGUUGUAAAGCAUGAUGUAUUAUGUUUUCUGGGACCCAUUUUCCUUCAGACACUAGUGCAAAGCAAUUGUGUCCUUAAGAAGUGGUCCUCGUUCCUUCCUGUAUUUUAGCUUGUGUGUUACUCCAGAGAAACAUCCCUGAAAGGUGUGAAUAAGGCCUGCCUAGUGGAGUGAAGACAAAACCCAAGACUCUUCAGGUAAAUCACGUAAAUCAAUUAGGUUCUGCAAGAGCUUGAUAUUGUCUGACCACAUUCAGAAAUGGCUAGGAUUAAUAAAUACACACCUUUUAUAUAAAACCCUUCCUCAGAAGACUCCAAAGCACUUUGUAGAGGUAGCUAACACUAUUAUCAGGUUGUGCAUUAGAAAUCAUCUGCAUGUGAGGAAGUAAAUGCAGUACUGAUAUGAAUUGGAUCAGUGGUGACUUGACUUUUAGCUAGGUACAGGAAAUAGCAGAACAAGGUGAACAUAAAUAUCAAGGCCUAGAACAGUAAUAUUUAGGAAAUGUAAUUUGUGAGCUGAGUUUCUGAACUGAUGACUAUGCUGUGCACCUUUUGCAUGUCAGGAUUUGAACAUGUUUGCAACUGAAGCAAGAGUUUGUUUUACCAAGGGGAAGCAGUUACUAUGAUUGGUGCUGAAUAGAAAUAAAAAACUGAUGUUGUAGUGUUGGUUGAAGAACUAUACUUGUAAAUAAAUAGACACUUGUAAAUAAAUGGCUACUGUCCCUGAUUAUUUUCUCUCUGCUGUGGUAGACAGCUCCAUUUUCUCUACCUUAGAUUCAAAGAGAUGAGUUCUCAGGUUGUCACAAUAAACCUGUUAUCUCCAGAAGCUGCUGUUUCAUGGUGAUUUGUGUAUAACAAAAAUCCCUCUAAAAUAGCAGUAUAUUAAUAUGUUAAUUUUAUCUGCUACUAUUGCAUGA